rfam:Planctomycetes bacterium RBG_13_63_9 RBG_13_scaffold_11562, whole genome shotgun sequence.
GGGGGCGAACUGGAUUCGACCGGGCAGCCUGAAGUGGAAGUGGCGUGCCGUGGUUGGUCAGCGGGCCACGUUAAAAGCUGACUACAAACUUUAAUUGCCAAGCCUAGCUUUGCAAUGGCUGCCUAGAGAUAGGCAACCCCGGCUGAGGGCUUUCGCCGAAGAGGCCUGACUGCCGGCCGCCAAUUUCGGAUCGUCCCGGGUCACGUUGGGCACGCCCGGGAUUAAAACCGUUCCCGACUAGUCGGCCCGGCACCCUGUCGGUUGGGGGUCGGGCGGGCGAAAUCUCAAAUCAUCCGACUACGCACGUAGAAGCUUCCAUGGAAAUGUCGCGGGACGCGGGUUCGAUUCCCGCCGCCUCCACAU